rnacentral:rRNA from 1 species
CAGACGUCCGGGGGGAGUAUGGUCGCAAGGCUGAAACUUAAGGAAUUGACGGAAGGGCACCACCAGGAGUGGAACCUGCGGCUUAAUUUGACCCAACACGGGGAAACUUACUAGGUCAGGACACAGUAAGGAUUGACAGAUUGAAAGCUCUUUCUUGAUUUUUGUGGAUGGUGGUGCAUGGCCGUUUUUAGUUGGUGGAUUGAUUUGUCUGGUUAAUUCCGAAAACGAACGAGACCUUAACCUGUUAACUAUGUGAUGUUAAAAUUCGACUUCGGUCUCAAUAUUUGAUAUUAAAAAUUUAAUACUUCUUAAAGGAACAAUUCAAACUUUAAUUGAAUGGAAGUUUUAAGGCAAAAACAGGUCUGUGAUGCCCUUCGAUGUUCUGGGCUGCACGCGCGUUACACUGAUAUGUUCAAUGAGUUUUAAAUUUCCUAGUCUGAAAAGACGUGGUAAACUUAGAAAAACAUAUCGUGAUUGGAAUAGUAUUUUGUAAUUAUCGCACUUGAACGAGGAAUUCCUAGUAGGGGCAAUUCAUCAAAUUGCCCCGAUUACGUCCCCGCCCUUUGUACACACC